GCUUGUCAGCUGGGUGGAUUAUUUUCCUUCUGCUGACGCCCAGGUCAUGUGUCUGCACUGCGGCGCUUUGAUUGGUCAAUCAUCGCCGUGGUGGCAGAUUUAAAGCCCAAGCGCUGUGUUAGGCGCUCCAGCUGAGACCAGACCUAAUUAAUGCAAGGAAAGGCUGCUGUAUGCACAGCUAUCUAGGUGGCUCUGCCUUUUCAUCUUUGGACUUUGUCCUAAUCAGAGCGGAUGCCGCUUUUUGAUCAGGUUAUUUGAGGGGCUGUGAGAGUGUCUUCCUUCCCCUUUAUCCUCUUUCAAUCCAUAUCUAUGGCAAACAUUAGACUGUUUCUACUGACAACAGGCAUUUUUGCUUACUAUUGACAGAUUAAUUCUAUUAAUGGCUUAAAAUCCUGCUGUGGUUCUC